CCUACGGGAGGCAGCAGUAGGGAAUUUUCGUCAAUGGGCGCAAGCCUGAACGAGCGAUGCCGCGUGAGUGAAGAAGGCCUUCGGGUCGUAAAGCUCUGUUGCGGGGGAAAAAAGGCAGCAUCAGGAAAUGGGUGCUGACUGAUGGUGCCCCGCCAGAAAGUCACGGCUAACUACGUGCCAGCAGCCGCGGUAAUACGUAGGUGGCGAGCGUUAUCCGGAAUGGUUGGGCGUAAAGGGUGCGCAGGCGGUCCUGCAAGUCUGGAGUGAAACGCAUGAGCUCAACUCAUGCAUGGCUUUGGAAACUGGAGGACUGGAGAGCAGGAGAGGGCGGUGGAACUCCAUGUGUAGCGGUAAAAUGCGUAGAUAUAUGGAAGAACACCAGUGGCGAAGGCGGCCGCCUGGCCUGUUGCUGACGCUGAGGCACGAAAGCGUGGGGAGCAAAUAGGAUUAGAUACCCUGGUAGUC
rnacentral:rRNA from 1 species